CACCGCGGUUAUACGAGAGGCCCAAGUUGACAACCCCCGGCGUAAAAUGUGGUUAUUAUAGUAUUGCACUAAAGCCAAACAUCUUCAAAGCUGUUAUACGCUCCUGAAGCCAGGAAGCCCGCCCGCGAAAGUGGCUUUAAAUUAUAAGUACCACGAAAGCUAGGAAA
rnacentral:rRNA from 1 species